UAAAGGAGCAACUGCUUCAGGUAGAUAUCUGGACUUGUCAUUGAUUCCAUUUUAACUAUAGUAAAGUGUCAGGGAUUGGUUCUACACAAGCUUGAAAUUUCAUUUGAGAAUUGUUGAUGCAUGAUCUCUCUCUCUCUCUCACACACACAGGUAUAGUUCCUUGAAACCAUUUGGGAAACAUUGGAAUGUAUUGUUUACAGUAAAGUUUGAUCAUGCUUAGCGUUGGCUUUCCUUUUUGAGAAGGGGAGAACUAAAUAGUGAUUCAACUUAUGGGCCUUAAUAUGUUGAAAUUGAAUUUUAUGCAUUAAUGAUGCAUCAAAUGUUUGAAUUUCACCCAAGACAUGGAUUAAUGUUUAAGUCUUCCUGUGCAUCUACCUAAUUCAAGAUGUUCCUAUUCAGGUGCUGCAUCUCAGCAUCAAGAAACAUCUGCUGUGGGAGAUGCUUCUCAAACAUUUUUCUCAAGGUCUCCAUCCAACAUGUCGGUGGGAGGAAAGGCUUCCGACCAACCCAAAAGGACACCGGUGUCUCAAGAAGAGAUCGAGGCUAUCUUGGUGUGUAAGAACCACUGAGUACAUAUAACUAUAGGAAUAUUAUGGGUUUAUUAAUUUAUCAUCUCUUAGUCUUUCAGACCACGUUUUGCUUGAAAGUUUCUCCUGUCAAUUCUUCCAGUUGUUGGUCUCAAAACACACCUUGAAAACUUUGGUCGAGUACAUAUAACUAUAGGAAUAUUAUGGAUUUACUAAUUUAGUAUCACCUCUUGGUCUCAAAGCACACACUUGGAAACCAAAGUUUCCACUUUCGCCAUAUUUUUUUUAUUCGUUUCUUCUUCGGAAAGAAAUAUCAAAGAAAUCGAUGUUUCAAGAAAUGGAUGUGAGGUGAACUAAGCUAGCCUCGAUUUGAUUUAAUUAAUACUUAAUGGCGAAAAUCCACUUUUAAUUAUUCUAUUAUCAAUGUGCCGGUUGCAUUCCAUUGAAGCAUUUAAAUAUCCAGGAGAUUUAUCAUUGUAUUUCAGUUGUGGUAUAAAACAACUGAAAUUUUGGUGGUUGGUCGGAAUAUUACUGCUAUCCAUUGAGGAUUUUUUUUUUAGCAAUUUUAGUGGCACAGUUUUGCACCUGUACAUAUAUCCUCACUUCAUUUAGAAUCCAAAUCUUGAAUGAGUGACAAUUGGUCUUUGUUUUUUGCUCUCAAAUCUUUGCUUUGGCAUUUAUCAACUGCUCUUUCCCUUACUAUUUGUUGAUCAUUUUCUCAUCUGACAGUUGGGCGGCUGUAUCUGAACAUCUCACGGAAUCUUGCAUUGAGGAACAACAUUAUAACUAGUUCUUGGCUUUCGUAUCCAUCCUUUCAUGUCUGGAGAAUUCCGACUUGAGUCCUUUUUCUUGAAACUUUAUGAGCCUGCUAUCUCGUUGAUUGAUUGUUUGUACACAAAAGGAGAGGAAAUAAGAUACGUGAAUUAGUUAUCUAUUCUUGUCCUGAUUUGGAUUAAGUUGGAGAUUAUGGAAGUGAAUGAAUUUCUGGCUUGACACUGAUCACAUUACAUUUCAUUUUCAUUCGUUUGAAAACAAAAGAUAUCGAAUAUCAAACAUGCCCUACUUGUAGAAAAAAAGGCUAAAUAACCCAGUUAAGUUGCUGAUUAUGUAUUAUUGUGCAAAAAGUACUGUGAAUGCAAGAUCUCAUAAUAGGUGAACAUAAUUUUACAUCACGAAAUGUUCUUCUCUACCAUGCUCUCAAGGA
rnacentral:lncRNA from 1 species